rfam:Bipolaris zeicola 26-R-13 unplaced genomic scaffold scaffold_10, whole genome shotgun sequence.
GGGCGCUUGGUCUAGGGGUAUGAUUUUCGCUUCGCAUACUAUCCAUGUGCGUACUUGUGAAAGGUCGUGGGUUCAAUUCCCACAGCGUCCA